AUAUGCAAUCAGCCUCCAGCCCACAAUCCGGCAGCACCGAGGGUCUCCCCGGGCGAGAUGGGGCUGCCGGCGGGGCCGUCGGGCGGGUGCCGGCACACCCUGCCCCCAGCCGGCGAUCCCGGCUGCGCCCUCCGAAAUGCUGAAGCGACACAAUGCAAAUUCUUUGGCUUUGUGGCCGCCGCGCCGUUGCCAUGGAGCCGUCGCAGAGAACAAACACAACUCGCCCCAUGUUUUCUCAGCACCUUCCACCCCACGGCCUUCGGCCCCAGCGCCAGCCCUCGACUCCCGGGAAUCGCACAGUCCCAACAUCCCGCCCCUUUCAGGGCGUCCAAAACGGAGCAGGGCUUCUCCCGGCCAGCCCUGGGGAAGGGGCAGCAGUGGCACGGUCCUGGGUCAGGGACUGGCCAGGGGCACUCAAGACUUGCAGGGGAUGGAGAGGAGAUGGAGGUCUGGAUGGGAAUGCUGCAAGGAAAAGGCCGAGCUGGGGACACGGGGACAGUUUAACGACACCAGUGGGGGAAUCAGAAACCCCAGGAUGGGGAUGAUGUUACUGCCAGAGACCUUCCCCGUUGGCAUCACCCUGCUCUGAUGGAGGAACCACGGAGGGAGGUCACCGGGACCGGGCACCCCGUGGGGCCGAUGGUUCCAUAUGCGGGUCCAGGCUGGCUGGGACCCUUUCCCCUACUCCUCUUCCCUGCGGAGAAGAGCUUGCCCUGCCCCAUGCCUCCUCGUGGGCUUUCCAGCGGCAUCCGUGGAGCCAGAGCACAAGGCAGCGGAGCGACCGGUGUCUGCGAACAGACAGACGUGCAGCGAGGUGAUGAGUAUGGGGGGAGCAGCCCGGUGCUCCCUGCAAACACUCCCAGAUCCAGCCCGGUGCUCCCUGCAAACACUCCCAGAUCCAGCCCGGUGCUCCCUGCAAACACUCCCAGAUCCAGCCCGGUGCUCCCCAGGGCGCAGCGGGAGAAACCGAGGCAGGGGCUGGGAGCGGGGGCUGGGGAGGAAGGUGACGCCGGCAGCGCUGGGUCCCCGCUGUAACUGCUGGGAUCCCACUCGGAAAACAAAUCAGUAACUAA